rnacentral:rRNA from 1 species
CUAAUACCGCAUAAGCCCACGACCCGGCAUCGGGUAGAGGGAAAAGGAGCAAUCCGCUUUGAGAUGGCCUCGCGUCCGAUUAGCUAGUUGGUGAGGUAACGGCCCACCAAGGCGACGAUCGGUAGCCGGACUGAGAGGUUGAACGGCCACAUUGGGACUGAGACACGGCCCAGACUCCUACGGGAGGCAGCAGUGGGGAAUAUUGCACAAUGGGGGAAACCCUGAUGCAGCGACGCCGCGUGGAGGAAGAAGGUCUUCGGAUUGUAAACUCCUGUUGUUGAGGGAGAUAAUGACGGUACUCAACAAGGAAGUGACGGCUAACUACGUGCCAGCAGCCGCGGUAAAACGUAGGUCACAAGCGUUGUCCGGAAUUACUGGGUGUAAAGGGAGCGCAGGCGGGAAGACAAGUUGGAAGUGAAAUCCAUGGGCUCAACCCAUGAACUGCUUUCAAAACUGUUUUUCUUGAGUAGUGCAGAGGUAGGCGGAAUUCCCGGUGUAGCGGUGGAAUGCGUAGAUAUCGGGAGGAACACCAGUGGCGAAGGCGGCCUACUGGGCACCAACUGACGCUGAGGCUCGAAAGUGUGGGUAGCAAACAGGAUUAGAUACCCUGGUAGUCCACACUGUAAAC